rnacentral:rRNA from 1 species
AUUGAACGCUGGCGGCAUGCUUUACACAUGCAAGUCGAACGGUAACAGGCCUUCGGGCGCUGACGAGUGGCGAACGGGUGAGUAAUGCAUCGGAACGUGCCCAGUCGUGGGGGAUAACGCAGCGAAAGCUGUGCUAAUACCGCAUACGAUCUGCGGAUGAAAGCGGGGGACCUUCGGGCCUCGCGCGAUUGGAGCGGCCGAUGUCAGAUUAGGUAGUUGGUGGGGUAAAGGCUCACCAAGCCAACGAUCUGUAGCUGGUCUGAGAGGACGACCGGCCACACGGGAACUGAGACACGGCCCAAACUCCGAAGGUAGGCAGCAGUGGGGAAUGUUGGACAAUGGGCGCAAGCCUGAACCAACAAUGCGGCGUGCAGGAAGAAGGCCUUCGGGUUGUAAACUGCUUUUGUACGGAGCGAAAAGACUCCCUCUAAUGCAGGGGGCUCAUGACGGUACCGUAAGAAUAAGCACCGGCUAACUACGUGCCAGCAGCCGCGGUAAGAC